UGCAUUGGCCGGGAAUCGAACCCGGGCCUCCCGCGCGGGAGCCGAGGAUUCUUUAGCUAAAGUGCCCUAAAGCGUUUCCCAUUCAUUCCCUAUGGUAGUGCUAAACCACUACGGAUGCAAUAUAUGUAUGGCCACGUAUGCCCUCCGAGGCGCUGUGGCAGGUUUUACGCAAGAGGUGGCGAAGAUAAUAGCCGAAUUACAACGAACCACAACAAACACCCGGGAACAACUCAUCUGAGCCUUAUUUACUUUUUCUGAUUCGUGAAUUUCUUUUACAUUUCAGCAUUUGAUCCGAGCAUUUUACGUUUUGUUACAUUAGCGGUUUUAGCUACGUCAGACACACAACAGCUUCUAAUUCGUAAGGACUGCCAAAGAUUAACAUGUCACACAGGCCUUCGGUGUUUUUCCCUGGCAAGGUCCAAGUUACCUUUCGGAGAGGCGCGUUAGGUUACCUUCUACAAGUCCCCUCUGAUGCCGCCAAGAAGAUCAAAGACAACCCUUCUAUGCAGGACAAGUCUGCUCCUCUGAAGGAAGAGGUUGUCAGGAAGAAUGCCAUCAGCGUUGUCUUACAAAGAGGGGGGGAUGUGUCAGAUAAAGCUGAGGUGUUGGGGGAGUACAUACUACAGUUUGGGAAGUACAGAGGCAAGUCCUUCAGGUGGCUGCUGGAAAAUGAUGUUGGAUACACUAUGUACCUCAUCAAAAAUUUGGAAAAAGAAAAAGAGGCAGGCCAUUUCAGUACAGAGGGGAGCAGCAAAAUCAGUUUGCAGUCCUUUUUGGAAUAUGCCAUGAGCUUCAAAGAUAUUGAGGAGCUUUCAAAGUUUGAGUCUCACAAAACGAAUUCUCCUGCUGUGACCUCAGAUUGUGACACUCUGGUUGGCUUUGGUAAUCGGGCCAAAAGUACAUGGGGAGAAAUAUGGGAGAGCAGAGCUGAUGGGUACGCUUUCUUCAUUAUGUCAAGGAAAUGUGGUACAGGUUCAAAAAUGCACAAACUGCAGCAGUACCUGCUAAUGAAAAAAGAGUCAUUGCCAUCAACCGUUACAUCACCAGCCUCUACUGCAACUCCUUACUCCCAAGAUUCACCAGCAUCAGCAGCUGUAGGAGCACCAUCUGUGUCUACUGGCAGAGGUUUUUCUCCAUCAGUUUGGCAGGACUAUUCACUGAAUUAUUCUGCCUAAC
ensembl:lncRNA